ACUCUCAAAUCAUAUUUGCAUAUUCUGGUUCUCGCCCGAUCACUGAAGUUAAGUCGGGCCCGGUCAGUACUUGGGAGGGUGACCUCCUGGGCGCUGUUGGUU